rnacentral:rRNA from 1 species
AUUGAACGCUGGCGGCAGGCCCAACACAUGCAAGUCGAGCGGAGCGGCGGACGGGUGAGUAAUGCCUAGGAAUCUGCCUGGUAGUGGGGGAUAACGUCCGGAAACGGGCGCUAAUACCGCAUACUAUCAGAUGAGCCUAGGUCGGAUUAGCUAGUUGGUGGGGUAAAGGCCUACCAAGGCGACGAUCCGUAACUGGUCUGAGAGGAUGAUCAGUCACCAUGUAACUGAGACACGUGCCAGACGCCUGCGGGAGGCGGCAGUGGGGAAUAUUGGACAAGGGGCGAAAGCCUAAUCCAGCCGUGCCGCGUGUGUGAAGGAGGUCUUAGGAUUGUAAAGCACUUUAAGUUGGGAGGCGUUACCAACAGAAUAGGCACCGACUAACUUCGAGCCAGCCGCCGCGGUAAUAC